GCGGAAGGCUUAGAGACCCCGCAGUGCCUUCUGGGAUGCAGAGGACAGCCACACUCUGAGCCUGAGUCUUCUCAUCUGGACUGUGAGCCUUGGUACAAACUUGAUCUUAGACUUUCCUUCUGGAAUCAUUUCCCUUCUUCUGAGUUGUAUUAAUAAGGUUCUGUUGCAGGAUACCCUGUUACUUGUAGUUGUCUCGUCUCCUAAGACUCCUCUUGGCUGUGGUAAUUUCUCAGACCUUCCUUGUUUUUGAAGACCUUGGCAGUGUUGAGGCG